UGACGCCAUGGGAGUAGGACACCGGGAACUAUUCUCCGUAACCAACACAAGUUACUGGAUAAGGUUUGGAUGAAAAUGAAACUGCUGCAUUCACACUAUCUGAGUUUGUAUUUUCAAUGCGUGAGCACGGAUUGGAAAACAUGAAGUCAAAUUAGGAAGCACUGAAAGAUAAAUAUCCAGCAUAUAUCGCCAGUUUUGUCAAGGGAAACUAAAGUCAAUCUUUUAUUCCCCUAAGUCAAGGUAUUGCUGACCAUAUGAAUAUGGAUGUGACACAGUCUACUACAGGAUGAGCAACCUUCCAGCAGCUAUUUUCCCCAGAGGAUAAGGAUUCUACCUUGCUCAGCAGCCAUCGGGUGCCAAUAUCUCUUGUGAUAAUGGUGGAAUCCCUCUCACACCAAUGGUGGAAUUUUGCCUGGCACAAUCUUGUGCCUGUCUUGUGCACAUGCAUGUAACCUCUGUGUGUUUAUGCAGGCAACAACCUUGUCGUAUCAGCAAUUGUAAUGACUUCUUCUUGCAGUCACAAAACACAGUAAACACAUGAUGUAUCGGACUUUACCCUGUGAAACAUGGCUUACUGUUUUAUGUUGAGUUUAUUGUAAACUGUACUACAUAAAGAGCACAUUCCUAACUCAUGGUAAAACAAAUCUAAAAGCAGUAACAUUGUCAAUAUGUGUUAGUGAGCAUUACAUUUUGUUAUGACAAUGUGAAAUCGGUUGCUUUACUCUAACAUCACUAAAAACAACAUAACUGAAGCAUUACCAUAUUAUAUCAGAAUGGAUGUAAGGUCACUA